AGAGUUUGAUCAUGGCUCAGGACGAACGCUGGCGGCGUGCCUAACACAUGCAAGUCGAGCGAUUCAAUAUUUAACACUUUGUGUAAAAUACUUGAAUAGCGGCGAACGGGUGAGUAACGCGUGGGAAAUCUGCCCUGUACAGGGGGAUAGCCUCGGGAAACUGGGAUUAAUACCCCAUAAUGCUCCAUCAUCGCAUGAUGACGGAGCCAAAGUUUUUAACGGUAUAGGAUGAUCCCGCGUCCCAUUAGCUAGUUGGUGAGAUAAAAGCUCACCAAGGCCACGAUGGGUAGCCGGCCUGAGAGGGUUAACGGCCACACUGGAACUGAGACACGGUCCAGACUCCUACGGGAGGCAGCAGUGGGGAAUAUUGCACAAUGGGGGAAACCCUGAUGCAGCGACGCCGCGUGAGCGAUGAAGGCCUUCGGGUCGUAAAGCUCUGUCCUAAGGGAAGAAUAAUGACGGUACCUUAGGAGGAAGCCCCGGCUAACUACGUGCCAGCAGCCGCGGUAAUACGUAGGGGGCGAGCGUUGUCCGGAAUUACUGGGCGUAAAGGGUGCGCAGGCGGCCCUGUAAGUCAGAUGUGAAAGCCAUCGGCUUAACCGAUGUAAGCAUUUGAAACUAUAGGGCUUGAGUGCAGGAGAGGAGAGCGGAAUUCCUAGUGUAGCGGUGAAAUGCGUAGAUAUUAGGAGGAACACCAGUGGCGAAGGCGGCUCUCUAGACUGCAACUGACGCUGAGGCACGAAAGCGUGGGUAGCAAACAGGAUUAGAUACCCUGGUAGUCCACGCCGUAAACGUUGAGUGCUAGGUGUCGGGGUCGACAGGCUUCGGUGCCGCAGUUAACACAUUAAGCACUCCGCCUGGGGGAAUACGAUCGCAAGAUUGAAACUCAAAGGAAUUGACGGGGGGCCCGCACAAGCAGCGGA
rnacentral:rRNA from 1 species